rnacentral:rRNA from 1 species
ACGGGAGGCAGCAGUGGGGAAUUUUGGACAAUGGGGGCAACCCUGAUCCAGCAAUGCCGCGUGUGUGAAGAAGGCCUUCGGGUUGUAAAGCACUUUUGUCCGGAAAGAAAACCUCCGUCCUAAUACGGUGGGGGGAUGACGGUACCGGAAGAAUAAGCACCGGCUAACUACGUGCCAGCAGCCGCGGUAAUACGUAGGGUGCAAGCGUUAAUCGGAAUUACUGGGCGUAAAGCGUGCGCAGGCGGUUCGCUAAGACCGAUGUGAAAUCCCCGGGCUUAACCUGGGAACUGCAUUGGUGACUGGCGGGCUAGAGUAUGGCAGAGGGGGGUAGAAUUCCACGUGUAGCAGUGAAAUGCGUAGAGAUGUGGAGGAAUACCGAUGGCGAAGGCAGCCCCCUGGGCCAAUACUGACGCUCAUGCACGAAAGCGUGGGGAGCAAACAGGAUUAGAUACCCUGGUAGUCCACGCCCUAAACGAUGUCAACUAGUUGUCGGGUCUUCAUUGACUUGGUAACGAAGCUAACGCGUGAAGUUGACCGCCUGGGGAGUACGGUCGCAAGAUUAAAACUCAAAGGAAUUGACGGGGACCCGCACAAGCGGUGGAUGAUGUGGAUUAAUUCGAUGCAACGCGAAAAACCUUACCUACCCUUGACAUGUACGGAACCUUGCCGAGAGGUGAGGGUGCCCGAAAGGGAGCCGUAACACAGGUGCUGCA